AUAGCGUAUAUUAAAGUUGUUGCAGUUAAAAAGCUCGUAGUUGAAUUUCUGAUUAUGAAUGCUUCGGUUUCCGGAGUAUUUGUAGUCAUCCACAUGAGAACCUUUCUCGGCCUUCACUGGUCGGUUGGGGGAUCAUGUACUUUACUUUGAAAAAAUCAGAGUGUUUCAGGCAGGCGUUUGCAUGAAUACACAAGCAUGGAAUAAUGGAAUAGGACUAGGGUCCAUUUUAUUGGUUAUUGGACCAUAGUAAUGAUUAAUAGGGACAGUUGGGGGCAUUAGUAUUUAAUUGUCAGAGGUGAAAUUCUUGGAUUUAUUAAAGACUAACUUAUG
rnacentral:rRNA from 1 species